rnacentral:rRNA from 1 species
CCCGCUCAGAAACUUAAAUGAAUUGACGGGGGCCCGCACAAGCGGAGGAACAUGUGGUUUAAUUCGAUGAUACGCGAGGAACCUUACCCGGGCUUGAAAUGCAUCUGACCGGCCUUGAAAGAGGCAAUCCCUUCGGGGCAGAUGUGUAGGUGCUGCAUGGUUGUCGUCAGCUCGUGCCGUGAGGUGUCGGCUUAAGUGCCAUAACGAGCGCAACCCUCAUCAUUAGUUACCAUCAGGUCAAGCUGGGGACUCUAAUGAGACUGCCAUCGUAAGAUGCGAGGAAGGUGGGGAUGACGUCAAAUCAGCACGGCCCUUACGUCCGGGGCGACACACGUGUUACAAUGGGUGGUACAAAGGGCAGCUACCUGGCGACAGGAUGCUAAUCUCCAAAACCGCUCUCAGUUCGGAUCGGAGUCUGCAACUCGACUCCGUGAAGCUGGAUUCGCUAGUAAUCGCGCAUCAGCCACGGCGCGGUGAAUACGUUCCCGGGCCUU